AGAGCGAACGCUGGCGGCAGGCUUAACACAUGCAAGUCGAGCGGGCGUAGCAAUACGUCAGCGGCAGACGGGUGAGUAACGCGUGGGAACAUACCUUUUGGUUCGGAACAACACAGGGAAACUUGUGCUAAUACCGGAUAAGCCCUUACGGGGAAAGAUUUAUCGCCGAAAGAUUGGCCCGCGUCUGAUUAGCUAGUUGGUGAGGUAACGGCUCACCAAGGCGACGAUCAGUAGCUGGUCUGAGAGGAUGAUCAGCCACAUUGGGACUGAGACACGGCCCAAACUCCUACGGGAGGCAGCAGUGGGGAAUAUUGGACAAUGGGCGCAAGCCUGAUCCAGCCAUGCCGCGUGGAUGAUGACGGCCUUAGGGUUGUAAAGUCCUUUUAACGGGGAAGAUAAUGACGGUACCCGUAGAAUAAGCCCCGGCUAACUUCGCGCCAGCAGCCGC
rnacentral:rRNA from 1 species